GACGUAGGGCGCGAGCGUUGUCCGGAUUUAUUGGGCGUAAAGAGCUCGUAGGCGGCUUGUCGCGUCGAAUGUGAAAUCCUGCGGCUCAACUGCAGGCUUGCAUUCGAUACGGGCAGGCUCGAGUUCGGUAGGGGAGACUGGAAUUCCUGGUGUAGCGGUGAAAUGCGCAGAUAUCAGGAGGAACACCGGUGGCGAAGGCGGGUCUCUGGGCCGAUACUGACGCUGAGGAGCGAAAGCGUGGGGAGCGAACAGG
rnacentral:rRNA from 1 species